rnacentral:misc_RNA from 1 species
GGUGGUUGCUGCUCCUAAUUAAAGUGCUUAAGGUACAACAAACACAACUAUUCGCAGAAUCAAUGGAAGAUCCCUGACCAUUCGAGCUAAUGCCUACACCACGGUCAGUCUCUUGGAUACUCUUCACACUCCAACAGUAUAUGCUGUACGUAUACUCUAAAGCUCGAUCGAGGUAAUUCGAGCAAUUCUAGGAGGUGGGUUCUUAACAUCUUGUUCAUGUUAUUCCUCCAUUUUAAUAUUUAGGGUGUUGAUACAUAGUUCCUUUUUCUUUUUUGAAUGUUUUUUCAAGUUGGUUUUUAGUUUGUUAAUGAAAUGUAUAGUUCAGUAUCAAAUGGUUUAUACUUUUGUACAAGCAGGGGUUUUAUAGUUGAGGAAAAACAGAUGUAUAAACAUUGCUGAAUAUGGGAAAUAAAUAUCUUU